rnacentral:rRNA from 1 species
AACGUAGGAGGCAAGCGUUAUCCGGAGUUACUGGGCGUAAAGCGCGUGUAGGUGGUUUCGCAAGUCCGGUGUGAAAGCCCAGGGCUCAACCCUGGAAGUGCAUUGGAUACUACGGAGCUGGAGUCCUGAAGAGGAGAGCGGAAUUCCCGGUGUAGAGGUGAAAUUCGUAGAUAUUCGGAAGAACACCAGCGGCGAAGGCGGCUCACUGGUCCGGUACUGACGCUGAGGUGCGAAAGCGUGGGGAGCAAACAGG